rnacentral:rRNA from 1 species
UACGAAGGGGGCUAGCGUUGUUCGGAAUUACUGGGCGUAAAGCGCACGUAGGCGGAUUGUUAAGUUAGGGGUGAAAUCCCGGGGCUCAACCCCGGAACCGCCUUUAAUACUGGCAAUCUCGAGUCCGAGAGAGGUGAGUGGAAUUCCGAGUGUAGAGGUGAAAUUCGUAGAUAUUCGGAGGAACACCAGUGGCGAAGGCGGCUCACUGGCUCGGUACUGACGCUGAGGUGCGAAAGCGUGGGGAGCAAACAGG